AGAGGGAGAGGUGGAAGAAGAAUAGAUGUGGAGUUUAGACACAUAACAGAACAUGACAUUGAGAAGAGGAUGAAGAGAAAGAGUUGGCCAGAUUAACUGUAGAAUAUAUGCUCUCGUCUGGGUAGAGUGGAUGGUGGAUUUUGUCUGCUGACAUCGGAGGGUUGGAGUUAAGGGUAGAAUGGAUGGUGGAUUCUGUCUGCUGACAUCGGAGGGUUGGAGUUAAGGGUAGAAUGGAUGGUGGAUUCUGUCUGCUGACAUCGGAGGGUUGGAGUUAAGGGUAGAAUGGAUGGUGGAUUCUGUCUGUGGACAUCGGAGGGUUGGAGUUAAGGGUAGAAUGGAUGGUGGAUUCUGUCUGCUGACAUCGGAGGGUUGGAGUUAAGGGUAGAAUGGAUGGUGGAUUCUGUCUGCUGACAUCGGAGGGUUGGAGUUAAGGGUAGAAUGGAUGGUGGAUUCUGUCUGCUGACAUCGGAGGGUUGGAGUUAAGGGUAGAAUGGAUGGUGGAUUCUGUCUGCUGACAUCGGAGGGUUGGAGUUAAGGGUAGAAUGGAUGGUGGAUUCUGUCUGCGGACAUUGGAGGGUUGGAGUUAAGGGUAGAAUGGAUGGUGGAUUGGCCGCUGUGCUCGAAGAGGAAAUGAGGAAUGCAUAAUUAUUUAAGUACAGGUACCAUAGAUGUGAGCGAAAUAGCUUUAAGUAGCAGUAGAAGUAUUGUUGUUCGUUAGUUUAGUCCAAUUAGGGGGAAAGUAUACAUUUAAAAAAUGAAAUGAAAAAAAUUCAAAGGAUGAUUUGAAAUUACGCAAACAAUUAAAUUCAUAGAAAUUCAUACAAUGUUUCUGCAACAUUAAAGCUGAUCUACCCCACCACACAAAACACAAAUACAAAUAAAUGGCCCCCUUCAUAGUUGGUCCUCAGACAGAAGGUCUUGGUCCGCGCUGGGUGUUUGGUCCUCAGACAGAAGGUCUAGGGUGCGCUGGGUGUUUGGUCCUCAGACAGAAGGUCUAGGGAGCGCUGGGUGUUUGGUCCUCAGACAGAAGGUCUAGGGCGCGCUGGGUUUUUGGUCCUCAGACAGAAGGUCUAGGGAGCGCUGGGUGUUUGGUCCUCAGACAGAAGGUCUAGGGAGCGCUGGGUGUUUGGUCCUCAGACAGAAGGUCUAGGGAGCGCUGGGUGUUUGGUCCUCAGACAGAAGGUCUAGGGAGCGCUGGGUGUUUGGUCCUCAGACAGAAGGUCUAGGGAGCGCUGGGUGUUUGGUCCUCAGACAGAAGGUCUAGGGCGCGCUGGGUGUUUGGUCCUCAGACAGAAGGUCUAGGGCGCGCUGGGUGUUUGGUCCUCAGACAGAAGGUCUAGGGCGCGCUGGGUGUUUGGUCCUCAGACAGAAGGUCUAGGGAGCGCUGGGUGUUUGGUCCUCAGACAGAAGGUCUAGGGAGCGCUGGGUGUUUGGUCCUCAGAC